CUUGGAUCCACAGCCGCAGUUUGGGUGGCUGUAACCCUGCCCAGGAGGGCGGGGCGUUUGCCUGCUUCGUAGAGCAGGAGGUCUGGGUCUGCAGCCACGGUUUGGGCAGCUGCAGCGGCACCCAGGGAGCUACUGCCCCAGCUCAGAAGGGAUGGGGCUCCCACCGGCUCCAUGGAGUGUGCAGCCCACCGCUCUGCCUUCCUGCUGCCAUCAGUAUCUCCAGUUCAACAGUCUUCACACUAAACUGUUAAGCUUGUUCACCUGCGGAGUACUCAGCGGCUGCAGUUCAAGUAUGAGAACCCCUUGGUGGCUGACAUGACUGAAGAGUCCACAAUAGCUACGAACUGUGAAGGAACUUGGGAAAUAGCACCAUGCAGCAGAAAGCAGAAAAAAACAAUGGGCUAGUAAUCAAUAAAAAUGGUUUCUAUUAUCAGUUAAUCCACAUUUUAAGGUAUUUAACCUCCUUGGGCCUCGGCUUCCUCUUUUAAAAUGAAGGGGAUGGAAUACAGUGUAUCUCAGACUUCUGGUUCCAAAAUUUGAUGAGACUAUGCAAUCAGUGGUCUCAAUCAUGAUACUUCUGUUUUAGACUUAAGUUCAAAUGAUGUAUAUAUCUAAUAAGUAAUUUAUCCAGAGACUGCUAACCUGUCAAAAUGGUAUCACUAAAACCACUGAAAUAAUUACUUCAUGGUUCUUAGAUAACAUUGAUGGUUCCAAGGCUCAUCGGAAAGACAACAGGUAUCAGUUACACAAACAUGCCAUCAUAUUGAGGGCUGGGGAGUGUAUGGUGGUGUUUUAUUCACUUUACAAAAUUAGCUACAAAAUUAGCUAGUGCACCUACUUGGGUUUGUCAUAGAUAUCAUAAAACUGUAUCAUACAAAUGGGGGCACCGAAAAAUACUAAAAAACGGCCAAGAGAAACAUAUAGCAUUUUUGAUUUCCUCAUUUCUACAAACUGGAGUUUCUUUUUUUAUUUAUAUAUCACACUGUAAUUCUAUUACAUACAAUAUAAUUGUAUAUUAUGUUCUAAUUCUACUACCUAUUUUAUCUAGUUCACAAAAACGGGAUGCAGGAAAGAUAAGCCAUUUUCAAGACAGGCUGAAUGAG
rnacentral:lncRNA from 1 species